rnacentral:lncRNA from 1 species
CUGUCACCAGCUACACAAGAGUAUCCCUGCAAAACUUUCUUAAGAUUUCUUUCUCACUGUCAGCUGUAAGUUAUACAAGAGAAGUUGAGAUCUGAAGCAAUGGCAAUCGAGGGCCAACACCAAUGCUUGUCGUACAACAAGGCAACAAACCUUGGGGAUUCUACUUGAAAGCUUCCCUAGCUUGGUUGGCUUAAAUGAUUUCCCGAUCAGUGCAGGAUCUGCAGCCGGAGAAUACAGACACUCGGCAGAAGCUCAAACUUAAAGGGCCGAGCUUUAUCUGCAAGGAAGCCAUUCGGUUCAACUUGGCGAUAACAUCCACAACAUUCAGUGGCCAAGACAUUUGAACCAGGCAGGCAGAUCAAUAACAACUCUGAGGUAACGAAAUCUUGAACAGAAUGCUUCAAUCUUCAAACGAAUGCAUGCAGAUUCUCUCUAACAGCAAUGGCCAAUCUUCACCUAGUUGCUGUGGAUUUAAUUCCAUGGCUACUUUGAAAUCGAGCAAAGAUAUUGAAC